rnacentral:rRNA from 1 species
GACGAACCGUGCGAACGUUGUUCGGAUUCAUUGGGCUUAAAGGGCGCGUAGGCGGCCAUGCGUGUCUUCCGUGAAAUCCCUCGGCUUAACUGAGGACGUGCGGAAGAAACUGCAAGGCUUGAGUCCGGGAGAGGGAAGCGGAAUUCCGGGUGUAGCGGUGAAAUGCGUAGAUAUCCGGAGGAACACCGGUGGCGAAGGCGGCUUCCUGGACCGAUACUGACGCUGAGGCGCGAAAGCUAGGGGAGCAAACAGG